rnacentral:misc_RNA from 1 species
UCCUCAUUUAAAUGAGGCAGUCUGUCCAGAGUGCUUCCAACUCUCGUUGGCUUGGCAACAGGACACAAGGGUUGCGCUCGUUGCGGGACUUAACCCAACAUCUCACGACACGAGCUGACGACAGCCAUGCAGCACCUGUGCAUGCUCCCCUUGCGGGGUCGUCCCACUUUCAUGGUUCUACCACAUGCAUGUCAAGGCCAGGUAAGGUUCUUCGCGUUGCAUCGAAUUAAGCCACAUACUCCACCGCUUGUGCAGGCCCCCGUCAAUUUCUUUGAGUUUUAAUCUUGCGACCGUACUCCCCAGGCGGCUGACUUAUCGCGUUAGCUCCGCCACAGACGGGGUCGAUUCCGCCUACAGCAAGUCAGCACCGUUUACAGCUAGGACUAC